AUUGAACGCUGGCGGCAGGCCUAACACAUGCAAGUCGAGCGGAUGAAGGGAGCUUGCUCCUGGAUUCAGCGGCGGACGGGUGAGUAAUGCCUAGGAAUCUGCCUUGUAGUUGGGGAUAACGUCCGUAAACGGGCGCUAAUACCGCAUACGUCCUGAGGGAGAAAGUGGGGGAUCUUCGGACCUCACGCUAUCAGAUGAGCCUAGGUCGGAUUAGCUAGUUGGUGGGGUAAAGGCCUACCAAGGCGACGAUCCGUAACUGGUCUGAGAGGAUGAUCAGUCACACUGGAACUGAGACACGGUCCAGACUCCUACGGGAGGCAGCAGUGGGGAAUAUUGGACAAUGGGCGAAAGCCUGAUCCAGCCAUGCCGCGUGUGUGAAGAAGGUCUUCGGAUUGUAAAGCACUUUAAGUUGGGAGGAAGGGCAGUAAGUUAAUACCUUGCUGUUUUGACGUUACCAACAGAAUAAGCACCGGCUAACUUCGUG
rnacentral:rRNA from 1 species